UUUUAAAUUUAGAGUUUGAUCCUGGCUCAGGACGAACGCUGGCGGCGUGCUUAACACAUGCAAGUCGAGCGAUGAAGCUUCCUUCGGGAAGUGGAUUAGCGGCGGACGGGUGAGUAACACGUGGGUAACCUGCCUCAAAGUGGGGGAUAGCCUUCCGAAAGGAAGAUUAAUACCGCAUAAUAUAAGAGAAUCGCAUGAUUUUUUUAUCAAAGAUUUAUUGCUUUGAGAUGGACCCGCGGCGCAUUAGCUAGUUGGUAAGGUAACGGCUUACCAAGGCAACGAUGCGUAGCCGACCUGAGAGGGUGAUCGGCCACAUUGGAACUGAGACAC
rnacentral:rRNA from 1 species